CCUACGGGUGGCUGCAGUGGGGAAUAUUGGACAAUGGGGGCAACCCUGAUCCAGCCAUGCCGCGUGUGUGAAGAAGGCCCUCGGGUUGUAAAGCACUUUCAGUGAGGAAGAACGCCUGGUGGUUAAUACCCAUCAGGAAAGACAUCACUCACAGAAGAAGCACCGGCUAACUCCGUGCCAGCAGCCGCGGUAAUACGGAGGGUGCGAGCGUUAAUCGGAAUUACUGGGCGUAAAGCGCGCGUAGGUGGCUUGAUAAGCCGGUUGUGAAAGCCCCGGGCUCAACCUGGGAACAGCAUCCGGAACUGUCAAGCUAGAGUGCAGGAGAGGAAGGUAGAAUUCCCGGUGUAGCGGUGAAAUGCGUAGAGAUCGGGAGGAAUACCAGUGGCGAAGGCGGCCUUCUGGACUGACACUGACACUGAGGUGCGAAAGCGUGGGUAGCAAACAGGAUUAGAUACCCUUGUAGUC
rnacentral:rRNA from 1 species